rnacentral:rRNA from 1 species
GACGAACGCUGGCGGCGUGCCUAAUACAUGCAGGUAGAACGCUGAAGGAGGAGCUUGCUCUUCUGGAUGAGUUGCGAACAGGUGAGUAACGCGUAGGUAACCUGCCUGGUAGCGGGGGAUAACUAUUGGAAACGAUAGCUAAUACCGCAUAAGAGUAGAUGUUGCAUGACAUUUACUUAAAAGGUGCAAUUGCAUCACUACCAGAUGGACCUGCGUUGUAUUAGCUAGUUGGUGGGGUAACGGCUCACCAAGGCGACGAUACAUAGCCGACCUGAGAGGGUGAUCGGCCACACUGGGACUGAGACACGGCCCAGACUCCUACGGGAGGCAGCAGUAGGGAAUCUUCGGCAUGGACGGAAGUCUGACCGAGCAACGCCGCGUGAGUGAAGAAGGUYUUCGGAUCGUAA